CCCAGUGUCUCACACUGAGCUUUUGAAGAAUCUCCAGCCUCCUUCUAAAAGGUUGGGGUGGACCACUGACUUCAGAAUCACCUGGGGAGCUGCUUUAAAAUACAGAUUCCCAGGUGCUGUUUGUAGCAAUUCUGAUGGAUUAGGUCAAGGGUGGACACUGAGAAUCUGAGAACUAUGGCUCUGGAGAGCUAGGGAGCAGGAGUGAGCCUUCUUAGGCCUGAGUGGUGGUGAUCCAAAGAGGCAGAGUCUAAUGGAGCCAAGGCUCCACCUGAGGACAGGGUUAGGGAAUGAAGCUAGGGCCACAGAAGGAUUAAGUUUAGAACAACCCAGGCCAGCACAAUUAGAUGAUGCCCAGGUACCACCACUGACCGCUCUGAUAAGGGAUCACAAUAGAGGGUCCUGGACAGAGCUGGAGAAAAAUGUAGAACAAAAUUCUGACUCACAAAAAAGACCAGAAUUACUGGUCUGACAGAGACUGGAGAAACCCUGAGAGUAUGGCCCCUGGACACCCUUUUAGCUCAAUACUGAAGUCACUGCUGAGGUUCACCCUUCAGCCAAAGAUUAGAAAGGCCCAGAAAACAAAAUGACAUGUUAUGGGGUUGGCGACCAAUGUUACAAAACAAUAUGUGUAUUAAUUGCUUAAUGAGAAAUUAAUUUCCUCUGUAAAACUUCAUCUGAAGUACAACAACAAUAAGUUUAGAACAACCCAAAUGUCAGCUUGUCAUGGGUUUAAUUGUGUUCCCCAAGAAAGAUAUAUUGAAGUCCUAACCCCCAGGUACCUGUUUUGUUGUUAGCUGACUUCAGUUGGCCUCUGACUCAUGGUGUCCCCAUGCACAACAGAACAAAACUAUGCCUGGUCCUCACCAUCCCUGUGAUGAGUUGCAGAUCAGUCCAUUGUGAUCCAUAGGGUUUUCAUUGGCUGAUUUUGGAUGUAGAUGGCCAGGUCUUUCUGCCUACCCUUUCUGAGUCUGGAGGCUGUUGAAAUCUGUUCAGCAUCAUAGUACCACACAAGCCUCCAGUGUCAGACAGGUGGUGGCUGCACCGAGGUACAUUGGCCAGGAAUCAAAUCCUGGUCUCCCGCAUGGAAGGCAAGAAUUCUACCGCUGCACCGCUACUACCCCACAUUGACUACCCGUGAAUGUGACCUUAUUUGGAAAUAGGAUCUUUGUAGAUGUAAUUAGUUAACAUGAGGUCAUACUAAAGUGGGUUGGGUCCUCUUCCAAUAAGCCUGGUGUCCUUAUAAAAAGGGAAGAAGAGACAGAGACACAGACACACAAGAAGACGGCCACAUGAGGAUGAGGUAAAGAUUGGAGCUAUUCUGCCACAAGCCAGCGAAUGCCUGGGACUACCAAAACCUGACUCACAGCAAACCUACAGGACAGAGUAGAACUGCCUCGUAGGACCUCCAAGGCGCAGCUGGUGGGUUUGAACUGCCAACCUUUUGGUUAGCAGCCAAGCUCAUAACCACUGUGCCACCAGGAGUCCCCAAAGCUGGAAGACACAAGGAAAGAUCUUCCUCUGGAGCCUUCAGAGAGAGCGUGGCCCUGCCGACACCUUGACUGUGGACUUCUAGCCUCCAGAGCUGUGAGAGAAUAAAUUUCUCUUGUUUAGCCCCCAGUUUGGGGUACCUUGUUACGGCAGGCCUAGGAAACAAGCACACAGUUUAUUCAGAGUCUGUAGGAACCAUAAAAUAUCACUCAUUUGCUGGGUUCCCAGUUCUGCAUUUGACCCCUGGGGCCUGAAAUGAAGAUGAAGUCAUGCAGGGCAAAUAACAGUAAUAACAGUAGCUAACAUCUAUUGAGUGUCUAUUGUGUGGUAGUCACUGUGUUAAGCUCGCUACAUGGAUUAGGACAUUUGAAUAUUUUAACAAGUCUCUUGGGUAAGUUUUGUUUUGUUUUUUAUUCGGUAAAUGCAAUCCCUGCGUCGUGCAAAUGGUUAACAUGCUAAGCUGCUAACCAAAAGGUUAGAGGUUUUGAGUUCACCCAGAGGUGUCUCGGAAGAAAGGGCUGGUGAUCUAUUUCCAAAAAUUCAUCCAUUGAAAACCCUGUGGAGCACAGUUCUACUCUGACACACAUGUGGUCACAUGAGUUGGAAUCAACUUGCUGGCAACUUUUUUUUUUAAAUAGGUAAGUACUGUAAUUAUGCUUACUUAUAAAAUGAGGACAUUGAAAAGCAAGGGGUUAAGAAUGCUGCCAGGGUCAUAUGCGAGUCAGUGGGACAUGAGUCAGGCGGUCAUGUUCACCAGCAUGCUCUCCUCUGGGUGGUCAUCGGGGAUGUCUGGCUUGAGUUUUCCCUGUCAACCUGGCUGUGAAGAGUCAUGUGGCAGGUGCCUCCCCCAGGAUGCGCUCCAUGUCUCUGUGCCACUGGACACAUGGUUACACGUGUGACCAGUGAGCAUGUGGGUUACACGUGUGGCCACUGAGCACAUAGGUUACAUGUGUGGCCACUAAGCGUGGGGGUUACAUGUGUGGCCAGUGAACACAUGGGUUAAACAUGUGGCCAGAUGACACCAUCUCUCAUAAGCUCGCAGGAUAGUGACAGGUUUCGGGGAUGCUGAUCACUUUAUCAUCCUGGAAACAAGCUCCAAAGUCAGAAAUGGAACUGGGACCCAUUAGCCCCUUGAUUUUCUAGCAUUUACUAGCAAGAAAUUUCUUCCUUGACCCGGCUUUAAAUUGAAAAUUAAACAGCUGUACUAGAUCACCUGAAGCUUUGCCUUUCCUCUGGCACAACUGCCCGCAGUGCUGUGUCGUCUGUGAUCCACAAGUUGCAGGACCCCAUGCAAAAUGCAAACGUGGGCACCUUGCUGAGAACGCAGGGAAAGUGCCACUAGAGGCGCUGUGGCAGAAAGCUGUCUCCCUUCUUCUACCGUCUCUGCCUAGAGUUGUCAUGGUAUUUUUAUUUAUUUGUCAUUUAAUGUUAUUUUUAAGUAAAGAAAAAAUAAAAUUCUAAUAUAUUAACAUACAUUCUACUAGUAAUAUUGUAUGAUGCCAGCUUAAAUGUAAAUACAAGAGCAGAAUCACCAAAAUGACACAAUUCAUGUGUAUUUGUUCUUACCGGAGGAGUGGAAACAUUGCACAAAAGCAAGUCAGCUGUUCUGUUUUGCUUUGUUUUUGUGGUAAAAUACAUAUAGCAAAACAUUUACCAAUUCUAUAGUGUUUACAUGUUCCACUCAGUGACGCUGACUAUGUUCAUCGUGUUGUGCUGCUGUCGCCACUAUCCCUCCCCAAAUUAUUCUGCCACCAUCAACAGAAGGUCUGUGCCCUCACCACUGUUUGUGUAUCACCUCUUGACGUGUGCACACUGGACAGCCAUGUUCUACCUUCACCCGGAAGGGGGGCUGGAGGGAAAAGGAGCCAUGGUUCCUCUUGUCUUCCCCUUUGCUUCUGUGCCAUCACUCUCAGGGCAAGUGGUUGGCUGAUCCAGGGAAAUAUCAUGAGAGAGAAAGGGUGUAGUAGGCUCCUGGUCACUUGUGUUCCCCAGAACACCACUGCCUCCUGUCUGCAUGUGAAGCAAGUCCUGGGUGGCAUGGGAAGUGUGGCUUCCUAGUGCUGUCAGGGUCUCUGCUUUCUCAGUUGACAUCAUGACACACUUGCCUUGUAUUCACUCUGGAUCUUGCUGAACUCCCACACACUGUGGGGCCACUGGAAUUUUGUGCCCCAGGAUGGCCAGGAAUGCAGAGCAGACACGCAUGCUGCACGGUCUUCUCUGCCACCUGCAGGCUUCCUUGUCCCAUCGAACUUCACUUUCAAAACACAGGUUCAAAGAUAAAAUCAUGAAGAAUUUCAAGAUGGGAACAGAAAAGCAUUAACCAAGCGCAGGUCCUCCAAGCACCAGGGCUUGUGGGACAGCACAGGCUGCACAUCCAGGAAGCAAGCUCUGAUGAUCAGUAUUGUCGCUAAUGCAGAGAAGGGUGGCUGGAGGGGAGGGAUGACAACUGGGACAACCCAAGGUGCGUGCCGGCCCUCCUCCAUACUUCUUCCAGGUGAACUCAAGAUUGGCAUUAAGGGCAGCGUAUGGGGGCCAAGGUGUCGACGGGUGGUGCAGAUGGUUGAUGCACUCAGUGCUAAACGAAAGAUUGAAUGUUUGAGUCCACCCAGGCUCCUCAGAGGAAAGUUCUGGUCAUCGCCUUCCAGAAAACCAGCCACUGGAAGUCCCGUGGAGCACUGUUCUGCACUGACGCACGGGGGUCUCCAGGAGCUGGAACUGACUCUGCAGCAAGUGGCUGCUUGUUGGUUGGUAUACAUGGAAAUUCCAGAAGGAGUUUAGCUUCAGGGUGGUGUUAUUCAGUGGUUGAUGCAUGUCUUAAGGACGUAAUUUCUCUUUGCCUCUCCUCUUAGCCUUCUGUGGUAUCAGCUCCAGUCUCAGACUGGCUCCCCAUCAUGGUGGCAAGAUGGCUGCUAAUAACCCCCAAAGUGACUUGCUUCCUCUCCUAUGUCCAAAUGUUACCGAUAUCCAAUUGACUCCAAGGGUCCUUGUCUUUCCCCAAGCAAGAAUACAUGAGGUAGACAGAGUUGGUGGUAACUUUGGCAAGUUAAUUUACUUGUGACAAGUAAAAGGAGUCAGCGGGGGACUAAGUCUCUUCAAAAGACUGACUCAUCAGAGUCAGGGAGGUCACAGCUCUUAUAGUUUAAGGAUAAUAGUAUCAUCUUUAUUCACGGGUUUUCUGGGGAUAGGCAUGGUCUUCUAGGAAGGGGCUUAGUUUAUUAUAAUGAAAUGCACAUGCAUUAUUUCUUUCAAGAUGGAGCUGCUCUUGUAUAGCAUAGAGCCUGCUUUUUGCACAUGCCCAGUUGAGGUCCUUUUGUUAAGAUCGUAGUUCGAUUCUCUGUGAGGGACUUUUGCUCACUCCUGUCUCUGGCGGAGAGUCAUAUAGCUGUCAUCUAUUUUUUCACGGCGCAUGCUUGGCACCUGGUUGCUCAAGAAAAACAGCCUUGUGGUUAAGUGAGCUAAGCAAGCCCUGAUUAAUAUUGCUGAUAAUAGGUCCUUUUCCAGGAUGUGGUUUUCUGCUGUUUGCUCAAGCUCAUGAUGUUCCCUCACGAAAAUCCCUGCUGUUCCACCCUGGUCUUACAAAGAGAGAGAGAAGCCUUGUUUCUAAGCUCUAUCAGAAUUAUCAUAACUCUUGCCUUGUGUCUCCCUGGCAUAAAAUGAGUCAUGAGCCAUUCACCAGCUGAUAACAUAUCCAGUGAGUGGAACUAUGUUGAAAAUUUAGGGCUAAACCUCAUGCCCUUCUCCAAACCCAGGGCGGAGUUAACCUCUGCCAGAUCACAUAAACUGCAUAGAAGUGGAGAGGUGGGGAGGUGGGGAUACUGGAACAAAGACUGGGGUAAUUGUUACCUAGAGGGGAAGGGGUGGAUGGUGAGGCAGCUGCCACAAUAUCCAGAGAUCCUGCAUCUGCUGUCAGGACUGGCAACAGGAGCUAGCAAAAAACAUAAAUGGCGAUGCUGCCUAGACUUUACAAGUGGGAGCUGGGGUGCAGACCUACCCAAGAGGCAUUUGAAUUCAUAAUUGAAAAAAAGAUAUGGCCAAGCAGAACCUAUAUCUGUAGGCCAUUUAACAGAGGAGAAAAUCAAGAACCUAAGAAGGAAAGGAACUGCUUAAUCAUAGUAGUUGCCACAUACUGAGCUCCUGGUGUGUGCAUCUGCUGACUCAUUUUUCAGACUGGAAAAAUGAGGCUUUAGGAACUCAAAUAAUUUGCCCAAAGCCACACAGUUUUUGGGCCAGGACAGAGCCAGGAUCUGGACCCAGGCCUGUCCAGCCCCCAAGCCCAUGUUCUUUCCCGAUGCCUAGAGCAUCAUUGGUGUGAACAGGGAGAAAGCCCCAAGCCUGCUGACUCCCAGUCCAGAGUUCUCUUACACUGCGCUGUCAGUAGUAAGUAGUAAGUUUUAGGAGGGUGUAUAAUACCCACCAGCCACUCCACAGGAGAAAGAUGUGGCAGUCUGCUUCCAUAAAGAUUAUAGCCUUGUAAACCCUAUGAGGCAGUUCUACUCUGUCCUAUAGGGUUACUAUGCAUCAGAAUUGACUUGACAGCAGUGGGUUUGGUUUUUUGAUUAUAAUAUCAUAGGAGUCCCUGGGUGAUGCAAACAGUUAACACAAUCGGUUACUAAUUGAAAGGUUGGAGGUUCAAGUCCACCCAUAGGUGCCUUGGAAGGAAGACUUGGUGAUAAAAAAUCAAUCAUUGAAAACUCUCUGGAACCCCUGAAACUAUGACCCCCCAGAUCCGUUAACCCAGAACUGAAACCACCACAAAGUCCAUUCUUCAGAUAAAGGUUAGACAGUCCUGUAAAACAAAAAAUAAUACAUGUGAGGAAUAUGCUUCUUGGUUCAAUCAAAUAUACGAGACCAAAUGGGCAAAUCCUGUCCAAAAGCAGGAUGAGAAGGCAGGAAGGGACAGGGACGGGAUGAAUGGACACAGGGAACCUGGGGUGGAAAGGCGGAGUGUGUUGUCACAUUGUGGGGAUUGCAGCCAAUGUCACAAAACAAUAUGUCAUAAAUUUUUGAGAAGUUAACUUGAGCUGCAAACUUUGACCUAAUACACAAUUAAAAAAAAAAAAAAAAAGAAUAAAGAAAACCCUCUGGAGCACAGCUCUACUGUGACACACAUGGGGUCGCCAUUAGUCGGAAUCAACUCGGCAGCAACUGGUAUGAGAUGGUAUAAUAUCAUAUAUGGAAUAGAUAACCAAAUAAGUGGGAAGGGAAAAAGAUUUCAUGAUUUCAUGAAAUAACUUGUUUAAGUGCUAAAUCGAGUUGUCAGUGAAUUUUAUCCAGGGAAGGGAAGAACAAUCUGCGGCAGUAUAGGUUCCCAGGAGGCAUGGGUUGAUCCUGCCUGACUCUGUUAAUGCCGGGGCUGUGGCUCCCUGCAGUGCAGAGCAGCAGCUCUAUAAACUCCUUCCCUACAAGCUGUCAGACUUUGGAGAGGCCCUGCAGGCAAUCUGGACCUUUGCACUGGCAGUGUGAUCACCAGAGACAUUCUGCAAGCUCAGAGAUGCAAAUCUUGGCUUGUACCCUGCAGGACCCCCAGGCCACAAUGACCUCCUUUUACUGGCGGACUCUGACUUGAGAAAAGCCUGCUUGGUUUUCCUGCUCUUUGCCCCCCUGGCACUGCCGAUGUCCAUGGCCUUCACAGAAAGAAAUACGAAAGAGAGAAGUGAGCAGAGAGACAGAGGGAACUCAUUACCACCAAGCAAGAAGAGCACGUGUUCUUUGGACCCAAGGUCCGUGCACGGAGAAGCUCCUAGACCAGGGGAAGAUUGAUGACAACCACCUUCCCUAGAGCUGAUACAGAGAGAAAGCCUUUCCCUGGAGCUGAUGCCCUAAAUUCGGACUGCUAGCCGUCUCCUAAACUGUGAAAGAAUAAAUUUCUGUUUGUUAAAGCCAUCCACUUGUGGUUUUUCUGUUAUAGCAGCACUAGAUAGCUAAGACACUGGGGUUGGCAAAUCCAAAAUCUACAGAUGAGGCGGCAGGCCAGAGACUUCUGUAGGCGUACGUCCCAAAAACCAGAGGUCAGGUGACAAGAAGAGUCCAGGGCCGAGAGAGAGAGCGCGAGCAUUGCCAGAACAUCCGUUUAUAUACUGGAGGCAGGCCACACCCCCAAGGACACUGCCCUUUCAACUGAUUGGCUGCUCACAUCAGAUCAGAAAAUGGAAAGUGAUUACAUAGUGUCUGCCAAACCACUAUGAAUAAUAGUCUAGCUAAGUUGAUACAUAACAUAUACCGUCACAGGUACUGUGGAAGAAAGGCCUGGCAAUCUGCUUCCAUUAAGAUUACAGCCUCCAAAAACUCUGUGGAGCAGUUCUACUCUGUAACACAAGGGGUUGCCAUGAGUUGGAAUCAGCUUUAUGGCAGCUAACAACAACAACAGGAGAGCUGGCCAGGGCAAUGAUUUCCAAACACAUGCCAGGCAUAACAGAACCACUUGGUGAACACUGAAAAAGGACAGAUCCUGAGCCCUGCCCUGGAAGAUGCUGAUGCAGUAUAUUUGGAGUAAGGGCAGAAAUCUGCUUUUAAAAAUCUCCUCCCAGGUGAUUCUGAUAUCUCUAGCCCAGGUUUGGGGUUUGGAGGCCACUAGGCUAGAGGUUUCCCAAGGCCCCUUCCCAGUCCCUGUGUUCCCAUGUGGAAACCUGUCGUGAGCAGUAUGAAGAAUGUGUCUCUUGCUGUAGUAAUGCAUCUGCUGGGUGAAUGAAUAAAUAAAUACAUCACGCAUAUUAAACAAUUUCAAUUAUCCAGAAGUAUCCUGGAUUGGGGGGCUGGGGCUGGGAAGCUCCUUGAGUAGCCAAAAUAGUUGUCACAUAUCAGAGAAAUUAGACCUCUGCAUUUGAACGUUACUAGUGGGAACCCUUGAGGUCUGGUCUGUAUAGGAUAGAGUAGAAUUGUCCCAUAGGGUUUCCAAGGAGCAACUGGUGGAUUCAAACUGCCGACCUUUUGGUUAGCAGCUGUCUUAGUCAUCUAGUGCUGCUAUAACAGAAAUACCACAAGUUGAUGGUUUCAACGAAGAGAAAUUUAUUCUCUCACAGUCUAGUAAGCUACAAGUCCAAAUUUCAGGGCAUCAGCUCCAGGGGAAGGCUUUCUCUUCUCAGCUCUAGAGGAAAGUACUUAUCAUCAAUCUUCCCCUGGUCGAGGAGCUUCUCAGUGCGGGGACCUCGAGUCCAAAGGACGCACGCUCCUGCUCUUCAUUCUUGAUAGUAUGAGGUCCCCCUGUCUCUCUGUUCACUUCUCUCUUUUGUAUCCCAAAGGAGAUUGGCUUAAGACACUAUCUAAUCUUGUAGAACUCAUCAAUAGAACUGCCACUAAUCCCAUUUCAUUAUAAAGAAAGCAAGAGGUCAUUGAAAAGACAGGAAAGAAAGAAAAGACGCAGACAGAUGUCAGAGAAGACUCUGAAACUUGCUCUCAAACAUCGAGCAGCUAAAGCAAAAGGAAGAAAUGAUGAAGUAAAAGAACUGAACAGAAGAUUUCAAAGGGUGCCUUGAGUAGACAAAGUAAAGUAUUAUAAUCACAUGUGCAAAGAGCUGGAGAUAGAAAACCAAAAGGGAAGGAUACAUUUGGAGUUUUCAGGCUGAAAGAACUGAAGAAAAAAUUCAAGCCUCAAGUUGCAAUAGUGAAGAAUUCUUUGGGGAAAAUAUUAAACAAAGCGGGAAGCAUCAAAAGAAGAUGGAAGGAAUACACAGAGUCAUUACACCAAAAAGAAUUGGUCAACGUUCAACCAUUUCAAGAGGUAGCUUAUGAUCAGGAAUGGAUGGUACUGAAGGGAGAAGUCCAAGUUGCACUGAAGGCAUUGGCGAAAAACAAGGCUCCAGGAAUUGACAAAAUAUCAAUUGAGAUGUUUCAACAAAUUGAUGCAGCACUGGAGGUGCUCACUCGUCUCUGCCAAGAAAUUUGGAAGACAGCUCCUUGGCCAAAUGACUGGAAGAGAUCCAUAUUUAUGGCUAUUCCCAAAAAAGGUGAUCCAACCGAAUGUGGAAAUUAUCGAACAAUAUCAUUUUUUUUUAUCAUUAAUGUCACACGUAAGCAAAAUUUUGCUGAAGAUCAUUCAAAAGUGGCUGCAGCAAUACAUCAACAGGGAACUGCCAGAAGUUCACGCUGGAUUCAGAAGAGGAUGUGGAACCAGGGAUAUCAUUGCUGAUGUCAGAUGGACCCUGGCCAAAAGCAGGGAAUGCCAGAAGGAUGUUUACCUGUGUUUUAUUGACUAUGCAAAAGCAUUAGACUCUGUGGACCAUAACGAAUUAUGGAUAACGUUGCGAAAAAUGGGAAUUUCAGAACACUUAAUUGUGCCCAUGAGGAACCUUUACAUAGAUCAAGAGGCAGUUGUUCAGACAGAACAAGGGGAUACUGAGUGGUUUAAAGUCAGGAACAGUGUGCAUCAGGGUUGUAUCCUUUCACCAUACGUAUUCAAUCUGUAUGCUGAACAAGUAAUCCGAGAAGCUGGACUAUAUGAAGAAGAACGGGGCAUCAGGAUUGGAGGAAGACUCAUUAACGACCUGCGUUAUGCAGAUGACACAACCUUGCUUGCUGAAAGUGAAAAGGACUUGAAGCACUUACUAAUGAAGAUCAAAGACCACAGCCUUCAGUAUGGACUGCACCUCAACAUAAAGAAAAAUCCUCACAACUGGACCAAUGAGCAACAUCAUGAUAAACGGAGAAAAGAUUGAAGUUUUCAAGGUUUUCAUUUUACUUGGAUCCACAAUCAACAGCCAUGGAAGCAGCAGUCAAAAAAUCAAAAGAUGCAUUGCACUGGGCAAAUCUGCUGCAAAAGACCUCUUUAAAGUGUUGAAGAGCAAAGAUGUCACCUUGAAGACUAAGGUGUGCCUGACCCAAGCCAUGGUAUUUUCAAUCGCAUCAUAUGCGUGUGAAAGCUGGACAAUGAAUAAGGAAGACAGAAGAAGACUCGACGCCUUUGAAUUGUGGUGUUGGCGAAGAAUAUUGAAUAUACCAUGGACUGCCAGAAGAACGAGUAAAUCUGUCUUGGAAGAAGUACAACCAGAAUGCUCCUUAGAAGCAAGGAUGGUGAGACUGCGUCUUACAUACUUUGGACAUGUUGUCAGGAGGGAUCAGUCGCUGGAGGAGAACAUCAUGCUUGGUAAAGUACGGGGUCAGCAGAAAAGAGGAAGGCCCUUAAUGAGAUGGAUUGACGCAGUGACUGCAACAAUGGGCUCAAGCAUAAUAACAAUUGUAAGGACGGCGCAGGACCGUGUUUCCUUCUAAGGCAGUGUUUCCUUCUAAGGUUGCUGUGAGUUGGAAUCAACUUGAUGGCACCAAAUAACAACAACAUUCAUCUCAUUACAUCAUAGUGAUAGGAUUUACAACACAUAGGGAGAUCACCUCAUAUGACAAAAUGGUAGACAAUCGUACAGUACUGGGAAUCACGACAUAGCCAAGUUCACAGAUAUUUUCAGGGGACACAAUUGAAGCCAUGACAGCAGCCAAGCUCUUAGCCAUGGUGCCACCAAGGCUUCUGUAUGGAAUUUAGCUAUCUUUAUUUUUUUAUUUAUAUAGAAACCUAGCAAGUCUGGUGUUCUGGGUUCUAAGCUCUAGGCAUAUCGGAGCAGAAAUUAAAGGGGCAUAGAGGUUGUUGUGAAAAAUAGUACUGUCUUAGUUUCCUAGUGCUGAUGUAACAAAAAUACCAGUGUGGGCGGUUUUAAACAACAGGAAUUUAUUGUCUCACUAUUUUGGAGGCUAAAAGUCCAAAUAAGGGCAUGGGCUGUAGAGGAAGGUCUUUCCUUGUUGGCAGCCCCAGGCAUUCCUUGGUUCCCGAGCACUCCUGGGUUUGUAAAGGUCAUCACGUGGUCUCUUUCCCCUGUGUGUGCUCUGUUUAUUUUGCUUUUUGUAAGACAUCACUAAGCAGUGAUUAAGUUUAGGACCCACCGUAUGUCAGGUAUGGCAUGACAAAACUCCUGUUUCCCAACAGGGUCACAUUCACAGGACUUCAUAUUUUUUGGGAAGACACAAUUCAGUCCAUAGGAAGUACUCUUAGAUCUGUAAGAAUUAAAAGCAGACAGUCUGAUAGCAAAUAAAGGAACAAAACAAAAUUUUGAAGAACUAAAACGGCCGAGUAGUCUGGGGUCAUUUAGUGUUGGGGCAAACGAUAGAGCCUCAUCAACAGGCUCCGCAGUAGGUCAAUGCAGUGAUGAAAAACAAGGCUCCAGGAAUCGACAGAAUACCAACUGCGAUGUUUCAACGAACAGAUGGUAGCACUCACUCACCUAUGCCAAGAAAUUUGGAAGACAGCUCCCUCGCCAACUGGCUAGAAGAGAUCCAUAUUUGCACCCAUUCCAAAGAAAGAUCCAAAAGAAUGCGGGAAUUAUAGAACAAUAUCAUUAACAUCACACACAAGUAAAAUUUUGCUGAAGAUCAUUCAAAAGCAGUUGCAAUAAUACAUCAACAGGGAAAUUCCAGAAAUUCAAGCCAGAUUCAGAAGAGGAUGUGGAACAAGGGAUUUCAUUGCUGCUGUCAGAUGGAUCAUAGCUGAAAGCAGAGAGUGCCAGAAAGAUGUUUACCUGUGUUUUCUUGACAAUGCAAAGCCACUUGACUGUGGAUAUAACAAAUUAUGGAUAACGUUGUGAAGAAUGGGAAUUUCAGAAAACUUAAUUGUGCUCAUGUGGAACCUGUACUUAGACCAAAAGGCAGUCAUUUAAACAGAACAAGGGGAUACUGCAUGGUUUAAAGUCAGGAAGGGUGUGCGUCAAGAUUGUACCAUUUCAUCAUGCUUAUUCAAUCUGUGUGCUGAGCAAAUAAUCUGAGAAGCUGGACUAUAUGAAGAAGAACGGGGCAUCAGGAUUGGAGGAAGACUCAUUAACAACCUGCGAUAUGCAGAUGACACAACCUUGCUUGCUGAAAGUGAAGAGGACUUGAAGCACUUACUAAUGAAGAUCAAAGACCACAGCCUUCAGUAUGGAUUACACCUCAACAUAAAGAAAACAAAAAUCCUCACAACUGGACCAAUGAGCAACAUCAUGCUAAACGGAGAAAAGACUGAUGUUGUCAAGGAUUUCGUUUUACUUGGAUGCACAGUCGAUGCCUGUGGAAGAUGCUUUGCACUGGGCGAAUCUGCUGCAAAAGAUCUCUUUAAAGUGAUAAAAAGCAAAGAAGUCACCUUAAGGGCUACGGAGUCCCUGACCCAACACAUAGUUUUUUCUGUUUCUUCAUAUGUAUGUGAAAGCUGGACAAUGAGUAAGGAGAACCGAAGAAUUGAUGCCUUUGAAUUAUGGUGUUGGCAAAGAAUAUUGAAUAUAUCAUGGAUUGCCAGAAGAAUGAACAAAUCUGUCUUGAAAGAAGCACAACCAGAAUGCUCAUGGUGAGACUUUGUCUCAUGUACUUUGGAUAUUUUAUUAGGAGGGACCAGUCCUUGGAGGAGGACAUCAUGCCUGGUAAAAUAGAGGGUCAGCGAAAGAGAGGAAGACCCUCAACCAGAUGGACUGACACAGUGGCUACAGCAACGGACUCAAACAGCAACGAUUGUGAGGAUGGUGCAGGACCGGGCAGUGUUUCCUUCUGUUGUACAUAGGGUCCCGAUGAGUCAGAAUCGACUUGACGGCUCCUAAUAGUCCCUGACGCUAUCACUGUUACAAAGCAGCUCAAGAAGUAUUUAUAAGAUGUUCGGGACAGUCAGGAAGGCAGGAGGGCACUUAAGAAAAUGCUUUAUGCAAAAUCUACGGAGUAAAAGAGUCUCAGCCUUGGAAACCUUGGUUUAGUUAUCUGGAAAAUGAACUUACCUGGGCAGUUCAUUGACCAAUAAGGCCGCAUAAAAUAAGACAAGCGCCUGCAGGCUAAUUCCCAGGAAGGCUUGUUAAAAUCACCACUAGCAUCAAGCGCUGGUACUUGUUACCAGCCGUGCUGGGAGGAUUUCUGCAGUUUAAAGGGGGCGAUUGUGAUGCUGCAGAUCAGACAGAAAGAACAUCUAGAAUUAAGGUCGUUCCUAGCAUCUCGUGAGGAACGCAGGGGAAAAGAUGGCUUUUAUUCAAUUUAUUAGGAUCCUUCUAAGCCAUCUGUGCACUGAUAGACUCCUGUGAGCAGCAGCUGUUUUUAUUCAUUAGCAGUGAAGAGAUAGAUAAACCAUCAUUCAGUAUUCAUUUCAUAGCUGGGUUUUGAAUUGAGAUAAAGGCAGUUCGUACCUAACAAAUUUGGCAUCGACUUUGAAAAUUUCUUCGUGUGAAAGGUUGGGCUGAAACUUGGAAGGUAUUGCCAUCUAAAAAUGGAGUUGGCUAAAUUAUCAAAGUUACCCAGAAACGAAAGCCUUCAGAGGUUGACAAUGGGACAAAGACAAAUAUUUGCCUUUACUCUGUUUGAGGCCCUAAAUUUAUGGGUCCCUGCAUACCUUGAAGCAGCAGCCCUGGUGGCACAGUGGUUAAGAGCUCAGCUGCUAACCAGAAAGGUCAGCAGUUUGAAUCUACCAGCCACCCCUUGGGAACCCUAUGGAGCUGUUCCACUCUGUCCUAUCGGGUCGCUAUGAGUCAGAAUCGACUCAAUGGCAGUGGGUUUGGGUUUAGGGGGUAUACCUCAAAAUUUUCAUAAAUUUCUGGGUAAUGCAGUGUAGUCACAGGAAAGUGGCUUACUUCCUCUGUUUACAUACCAAGGCAUUAAUGGGAAAUAAAAUGUCAAAUGAAGACUUCAAAAAUCACUUAAACAGAAGACUUUGGUCCUACAGUGAUGAUUCCCUUUCCUGGGCUCUGCUGGCAAAUGUAUUAGUUAGGGUCACUUAACUCUGUUGCAGUCGCAAAUUAACUCUGAAAUCCUAGCGGCUUAACACUCCGGAGGUUUAUUUCUUGCUCAUGCAAAUUCUAUGUGGACCAGGGGACUCUCCAGGGCAAUGUGCGGACUUAAUGCUCCAUGCUGCUCAAUCGUGGGAACUGGCCAUCUCCACCCAUGGUUCCCAGGUGGACAAAGCAGGGGAAGAGAAGAAAGCCUCAGGUGGUGCAAAUGGUUAAGUGCUCAACUACUAACCCACCCAGAGGUGCCUCAGAAGAAAGGCCUCGUGUUCUACAUCUGAAAGACCAUAGCCACUGAAAACCCUCUGGAGCGCAGCUCUACUCUGACACACAUGAGCUCACUAACAUCUUUAGCCAUCUAAGAUGCAUCAAUUGGUCUCAACCCACCUGGAUCAAAGGACAAUGAGGGACACCAAGGACACAAGGCGAUUACAAGCCCGAGACACAGAAAGUGCCACAUGAACCAGAGACUACAUCAUCCUGAGACCAGAAGAACUAGAUGGUGCCCGGCUACAACUGAUGACUGCCCUGUCAGGGAACACAACAGAGAACUCCUGAGGGAGCAGGAGAGCAGUGGGAUGCAGACCCCAAAUUCUCAUAAGACCAGACUUAAUGGUCUGACUAAGACUAGAAGGACCCGGUGGUCAUGGCCCCUAGACCUUCUGUUGGCCCAGGACAGGAGCCAUUCCCGAAGCCAACUCUUCAGACAUGGAUUGGACUGGACGAUGGGUUGGAGAGGGAUGCUGGUGAGGAGUGAGCUUCUUGGAUCAGGAGGACACUUGAGACUAUGUUGGAAUCUCCUGCCUGGAGGGGAGAUGAGAGGGUGGAGGGGGUUAGAAGCUGGUGAAAGGACACGAAAAGAGAGAGUGGAGGGAGAGAGCAGGCUGUCUCAUUAGGGUGAGCAUAAUUGGGAGUGUGUAGCAAGGUGUAUAUGGGCUUUUAUGUGAGAGACUGACUUGAUUUGUAAACCUUCAGUUAAAGGACAAUAAAAAUUAUAUAUAUAUAUAUAAAAGAACAUCUCCUUUGUUAGCCCAUUCACCUUUUAAAGUUGGAACUUUCUUACUGUAUUGCACGGAAGCAAAGCUCAGCUUCACAGGCAAAGGAAAGGCAAAUUGUCCCUUCUGUGUGCUUGUCCUGUAGCCGGCACUGUGCUGAGGGCUUUUACACAUGUAUCAUGACCGUGAAGCUGGCACAGGACCCAGCAGUGUUUCCUUCCAUCCUAUACAAGGUCAUCAUGAGUUAGAGCCAACUCUGUGGAACUAACAACAACAGCAGCAGACACUUGAUCUCUUCUUAUAAGCCUCCUAAAAAGUUUCAUGGCUCCAAAGGUCCCUCCUAGAUCAACCCCUGCCUUUAUUAGCCAUAUUCCUUUUGCUGAGCCAACACCCUGGGUUCAGAUCAGGCCUUGAGCUUUCUCAACAACCAAAACAGGAAGUGAGAUAUAACCUACUCUAAGAUUUGCAUUGCCCGUGAACUUAUUGCCUUCUCCACCACCAUCAAUGGCCACUGGCCACCUCCUGCGUGAGCAGCACUGCCCCGGAAGCAGCUCCUCUCCUCAGGCCUUUAAUGAUUUCCCCACAAUUCCAAGAUUUUUUUUAGUCUGGUUGGACUCUUCCAAACAAUUAUGUUUGUACUCCUUCUUUCUUCAUUUGACUAUUUCAGCUUUUAAAAUGGUUUAUAGCUCAUGGAUUUCCAUUACCCAGGAAAAAAAAAAAAGGCAUUUCACAAAUCUGUUUACAGUUUAUAAGUUUGUUUACAAGGCAGCCAGCUUCAGUUCAAUUCCCAACUGAUUGGGGAAAAGGCUUGAAGCCCCACCUGGAUUCCCCUGGGACCUCUUCUGCCCGCCAAGUGGGACUGUCCCCAGCUGCAGCAGGUGUUGCCCUAAUGGCUGACACCUGCAGCCUUUCCUGGAGGCCUGGCCUUGGUUGGUUAGAGCCAGCUUGCCAGGAAAUCUGUGUGAGUUACCACCCUCCUCCCACCCAACCCUGGUACCCAUAGCUAAUGACUGAGUAUGGGCAAGGAGGGGUAACUCAGGGCACAUCAAACUCUGUGGCGCUCUCAUGCGCCAGUGCUUCUCGUGGGGUCAGACGGAGGCUACACUUCAUCUGAAACCACAUCUGUGCUUAGUCUCCUAGUGCUGCUGUAACACAAAUACCACACGUGGAUGGCUUUAAGGAACAGAAGCUUAUUUUCUCACAGUUCUAGAGGCCAGAAGUCCAAAACAGGGUCUCAGCCAUGUGGAUUCCCUACUUGUCGGUAGCCUGGGCAUUCCUGGGUUCCUUGACAAUCCUCAGGUGGUGUCUGCCUUACCCUGGGUGUGCGCCUCUCUGCCUACGCUGCCCUACAUGUAACUUAGAAGGGUUUAGGUUUAGCACACACCCUGCUUCCAAACAGGAUUACAUCCACAGGUGUAGGGCUUAGGACUCCAGCAUACAUUUUGGGGGGACACAAUUUAAUCCGUAACAAAAUCCUUUCUCAGCUUCUUCCCUUUUCCUGCCCUGCUUCCCUCCUCUCAUUCUGGUUUCUUCUGAGACCACUGCCUCAGUGAAUCACCUCACUUGAAGCCCACCUCAGGCUACACCUCCAAGAGGCCCGACCUGAGACGGUAUUUCUCCACAGUUGGAAACAUGAUAUGAAUCACUAGACGCUCCCUCUUACAACCCGUCUGUUUUCCUAAAAUGAAUAUCUCAAAACUUUAUUUUUAUUAUAAAAGUGAUUCAUGCUAUGGCUAAAAAUUCAAAUAGUAUCAAAGAGUACAAAGUAAAAUGUAGAAGAGUUCAAACCUACCCCAACUCCUACUUCUGUUCCCUGAAAGGUAACCAGUCUUCAUUUUUAAUAGCUUCCAGCACAUGUCUAUGUAUAUUUAAGUAUUUUUAUAUAUCAGACUAUUCAUAUUAUUUUGAAACCUGCUUUUUUUCCACUUAAUAUAUUGUCUUAGUCAUUUAGUGCUGCUAUAACAGAAAUACCACAAGUGGAUGCUUUCAACAAACAGAAGUUUAUUCUCUCACAAUCUAGUUGUUGUUGCUGUUAGGUGCCGUCGAGCCAGUUCCGACUCGUAGCGACCCUGUGCACAACAGAACGAAACACUGUCCCGUCCUGCGCCAUCCUUACAAUCGUUGUUAUGCUUGAGCUCAUUGUUGCAGCCACUGUCUCAGUCCACCUCGCUGAGGGUCUUCCUCUUUUCCACUGAUCUUGUACUCUGCCAAGCAUGAUGUCCUUCUCCAGGGACUCAUCCCUCCUGACAACAUAUCCAAAGUAUGUAAGAUGCAGUCUCGCCAUCCUUGCCUCUAGGGAGCAUUCUGGCCGCACAAUCUAGUAGGCCAAACCAAAUUCAGGACAUCAGCUCCAGGGGAAGGGUUUCUCUCUCUAUUGGCUCCGAAGGAAGGUCCUUGUCAUCAAUCUUCCUCUGGUCUAGGAGCUUCUCAGUCAUAGGGACCCUGGGUCCAAAGGACGUGCUCUGCUUCUGGCACUGUUUUCUUGCUGGUAUGAGGUCCCCAAUUCUCUGCUUGCUUCUCUUUCCUUUUAUCUCUUGUAGGAUAAAAGGUGAUGCAGGCCACACCCCAGGGAAACUCCCUUUACACUGGAUCAGGGAUGUGACCCGAGUAAGGGUGUUACAUCCCACCCUAAUCCUCUUUAACAUAAUCUAAUCUUGCCUCAUUAACCAUAGGCAGAGAUUAGGAUUUACGACACUUAGGAAAAUUACAUCAAUCACAAAAUGGAGGACAACCACACAAUACUGGGAAUCAUGGCCUAACUAAGUUGACACAUAUUUUGGGGGGGACACAAUUCAAUCCAUGACAUAUAUCACGGAUGCCUUUUUAUUACCAGUGCAAAGAGGUAUCUGCCUCACAAAUGGCCAAUAUUCUAAGACUCACAUAAGUAGGCACAUUCUCUGCUGUGAACAUGUUUGAUCGCUUCUGUGAAUCAAAAUUGAAAACCCAAUCAUCUGAAAUUUAUUUUGCCACACGAAUAAUUGAGAGCUCAGUUUGAGAAAAUAUUUGUCAUUCUCCCUCAUGUGCUUAAUGAAAUAAACCUCUGGCUGUACCAAGCCCCCCAUGGAAUUAGUUGCAGAGGCUCUUGGAUAAGGUGAUGCGACUGACUGGAGGGAAGCUCCACCGUCCUCAACAGCGAAUGGAAGCUCCUGAGAGAAGAGAAGCAUAUUAGGCUGUCUGUCAUCCUUCGGAGUUCCCAGGAAUGCGCCUGUGCACAUCAGUAAAACCUCACGCCUGACAUCUGUUCCCACCACCCGCCUCUCAGUGUGUCGUACUGUGGUGGUUUGCACGACGCUAUGAUGCUGGAAACUAUGCCACCAGUCUUUCAAAUACCAGCAAGGUCACCCAUGGUGGACAGGUUUCAGCAGAGAUUCCAGACUAAAACAGACUAGGAAGAAAGGCCCGGUGAUCUAGCCAAUGAAAACCCUAUGGAUCACAAUAUUGUCCAUAUAGUGCUGGAAAAUGAGUCCCUAGGUUGGAAGACACUCAGAAUACACAGCAGACACUACCAUGGACUCGAGCAUAACAAUGGUCAUGAAAAUGGUGCAGGAUCAGGCAACGUUUUGUUCUGUUGUACAUGGGGCCACCAUGCGAGGGAGCUAACUCCAUGGCAACGAACAACAGUAAUUCCUAUUUAUCCUUUCAAUAUCUUAUGUGUGUGUAUAAUUAGGAUACAUUAGGCAACAGAUAUAAAAUGGAGGCAGCACCUGAACAUCACAGAAAUUAUAAAAUAUAUUUAAAAACAUAAAAAUAAUAUCAGUAUUCCUUAGUCCUCCCACAUCUCCCCAGAAUGACCAAGUCACCUAAUAUGAAAUAGUUGCAAGCGCACCGCCAUCUGGUUGUUCCACGCAUACGGAAUGGGCCCAUACACUCACAGGCUCAAAGCCCAAGCUGUCUUAGCUGCCUGCAGGUCUUAAUGUUACGCCUUCCUUCUCUCAGUGCCUCUGACCGUGUGUGUAGGGGGUGGGGAGAGAUGUGGGCUGGGGUCACGGUAGAGGGACUUUUAAGUCACCCAGCCACACACAGGAACAAAUCAACCAACCAAAAAAAGGGGAGGGGAUGCUAGUGGAAGCUUCCAUCCCCACAGCAGUGACUAAAAGAAGAAAUCAAGGAGAAGCCUCCAUGGGAUAUGUCCCCCAUCCUUAAAAAAAAAAAAAAAAAAGGUGAAGCAUGUGGAGUCUGGAGCCAGAGUACUGACUGGAAUCCCAGUCUGCUACUUUCUAGAUGUGUGUGAUCUUGGACUUGCCACUUAAAUUCUCUGUGCCUCAGUUUCCUCAUUUGUCAUGAGCACAGUAAGUAGAGCAUAACCAUCUGUUAUGAGAUAAAUCCUUUUAUUUCAUCCUUGCUACUCUGCUGUGAGACAGUGGUGGUUCAGUGGUGGAAUGCUCACCUCCCAUGCAGAGGACCCAGGUUCAAUCCCCGACCAAUGCUGCUCAUGCACAGCCACCGCCCAUCAGUGGAGGCUUGUGUGUGCUAUGAGGCAAACAGGUUUCAGCAGAGCUUCCAAACUAAGAUGCACUAGGAAGAAAGGCCUGGUGAUCUACAUCUGGAAGUUAGUCAAUGAAAGCCCUACAGAUCACAACACUCACAUCUGUAACAGUUCAUGGGCAUGGUGCAAGACCAGGCAGCAUUUUAUUCUGCUGUGCAUGGGCUCCCAUGAGCCAGGGGCCAACUGGAUGGCAGCUAACAGCAACAAUAUAUUGCUGUGUGAACUGUUCAGCUAUGCUUUCCUGUUGAGGGCACACUGAGGCUCAGAGGGGUGAGUGCCCCAGUGCGAGGAGUCGGAGCUGAACACAGUCUUCUGACUGUCUGUCCCGGCCUUGCUAUGGUGCUGCACGGUGUCUGCACCUUCUCUGCUGCACUAGGGGUUGUGCUGGGCCCCUUCUCCCAGGCCAAAGGUGGUGGUAGGUUGUCUGUGGGGCGCUGGUGAGGGCGAGCUGCACAGCCUCGCGGAGCAUCCUCUAGGCUGAUGUUCUGCUCCUGCCCUUGAGCGCCACCAGAGGAAACCUGCUGCUUUCUACAAGGCGGGCAGGACCUGCCUGACAUGAAACGAGAGCCCUAGGAACAGAUUCCAUGCAUGUUUAAGACCAGAAGCCCUGUUUGUAGGAAGCCACUUCCUGAAAACUCAGUUACAUGGAGACUGGGACCCGGGUUUCACCAGUGCCCCUACCUUUGGCCACUCACUGCCAACAUGUCCAGUCCUUGGAGGUGGAACAGGCUGGGGAAAGAAAGCAGAUCUUCGUGAUUUUUGAGUAAGUACUUCAUGCACAUGGCACAAAAGCCAAAGUGACAGACGGUAUUCAGUGUAACAGUCUCUCUCCCACCCUGCUACCCAGAGUUUUAGCCAGAGGCACCCACUGGGAUUCUUUUGAGCAGAAAAUAAAAGUUAACUCCAAUGGAUUUCUCUUCAGGGAGUUGGUCCAGAUGGGCAGCAGCCAACUGGUCUGUAGGAGCUGAUGGACAUCAAGGAAUAUAGGGAGGCAGCCAGAAAAGUGUUUCUGAACAGAAUGGGCGACUGUGUGAGCCGCCGAACGGGAGGCCAGGUUGUUGUCUACCAGGUACAUCUGCUUCUCUCCUCCGCUACUGUGAACACCACAAAACAGUUGCCUUGGUUUUCUUAGAAGCCCUUUGUGAUUAAGGCUGGGAGUCCACCACACCCCCACCCCUCCUUCUUGUCACUAAAGAUGACCAGUUUCUUAACCCACACACAGACAGGGUCAGGUCCUAUUCAUGGUCCACAAUGAGGGCCAGCAAGGGUCAGCACACAGCUCUCCUUCCCACCCCUCCUCAGCCUCUCUUCCUUUUCAUUCCUUUCCCUUCUUGUUCAUUUCUAUUCCCCACCCCCAACUGCACACCAAGUGCCGACACGGACUUGUGCCUGGGCUUCCUAUGGAUUUAUGGUUAUUCAUCCUAUUAACUAAGUGGCUUUGCUAGGUAAAAUAUUGAGGCACCAUUGCCAUUAUGACCCCAUCUUCCAUGAUCUCAUUGGCAGCUGGUGUUGCCAUGACAACUUGGCUGGAAAAACUGGUACUGAGCUUCAGUGGAAGGCAAUAUAUGAACACUGGCGUGUGUGUGUGUGUGAGAGAGAGAGAGAGAGAAACAUGCAGACUUCCAAUCACGCGUCUGUGUUGUGCAGGAAACCAUAGAUUUCUUAGUCCAUACCUUCUGCUUCUCCAUCCAGUUUUGUCAAAAUGAGCUUCAGUGCUCUAAAUCAACUGGAAGGAAGCUUUGGAGAAUGCUUUCUUUGUCUGGCUUUUUGAGCAGCAAAUUGGAGCCUGGGACACAUAAGAAAUACUUUAGAGGCUUUCUACCCCUGUGAAAUGAAGCAGCUGCACUCACUUUGAUGUCAGUCUUAAAAGUACCUUGGGCUGAACUUACUUAACAUCUUUAUGUAAUUCUCUUAUUAAAGAAGGUCGGAGCUGGAAGGGGACUCACGUCACUUAGUCUGACCCCUUUUUUGUUUAGAUGAGAAAACUGAGGCCCAAAGGAGCUAAGUGAGUUGCUCCCAUACAGCAUUGUCAGAAGGAGGUGGUAUGGUACAGUGGGUGAGAGUCAGGGCUCCGGUCACACAGCCUGGGCUCUACCAUGUAUGUACUGUGACCCCAGGCAAGGUACUUUAUCCUUCUAAGUCUUAGUUUACUCAUCUAUAAAAUGGGGCUAAUAGCAAGAACAACCUUAUGGGUCAUUGUGAGAGUUAAGUGAGAGAAUCCAUGGUGCUUGGCGCAUAGUAAGCCCUCGGUGCACAUUACCACUGUCACGAGGUCACACAGGGAGUCAGUGGCAGGACCAGAAUCCAGAUCAGCUGACUCUUAUUUAACUGGAGCCUUUUUCCAUUAACCCCACACCACCCUUUUUUUUUUCUUUCUGUGUUACUCAUCUCCCAGGAAAGAGUGGAAGCCCCUUUUGAGAUGAGGGUUGCCUUUCUGUAAAGCCUCCUAGGGAAGAGUGUAUAAAGACAGGUACUUGUUACUAGUUGCUGUCCACUCAGCUCAUGGCGACCCCAUGUACAACAGAAUGAAACACUGCCCAGUCCUGUGCCAUCUUCACAAUUACUGGUAUGCUUGAGUCCAUUGGGAAACCCUGGUGGUGUAGUGGUUAAGUGCUACAGCUGCUAACCAAAAAGUCAGCAGUUCGAAUCCACCAGGCGCUCCUUGGAAACUCUGUGGGGGCAGUUCUACUCUGUUCUAUAGGGUUGCUAUGAGUUGGAAUCGACUCGAGAGCAGUGGGUUUGGUUUGGUUGGGUUUGAGUCCAUUGUUGAGUGCCUUCCAACCUUGGGGGCUCAUCUUCCAGCACUAUAUCAGACAGUAUCCUAUUGUGAGCCAUAGGGCUUUUAUUAGCUUAUUUUCAGACACAGAUCGCCAGGCCUUUCUUCCUAGUCUUAGUCUGGUACCUAGUGGAUAUUUUAGGCUAAACCUCAAGCAUGUAUUGAAUAUUCACUGCAUGGCUGUACUGUAAUAGGAGCAAGGAAUGAGAAGAAAACUGAAGGAAGGAGAUGAUUUUUUUUAUCGCCUCUUAUGAAGCCAGGCAUUUUGCUAAGCCUGCCCAUGCCCAGGCUCAUGCAGCUAAUUGAGAGAGCUGGGUUUCCACCCACCCCUUUUCCUCAAGGUGCUGUGAAGCCCUCAAUAGAUUCUGUGGUUGAAAACUAUUUCUCAAGCCCUCUCUGUGAGCCAAAAGCGUAUUUCCUGAGGUGGAAAGAGGGAUUCGGAGCAGAUUGACACCUUUUUCAUCACUGACACAAAACAAAGGGUAGAAAGCACAGCGGUGUAACUCUGGGGAUCUAAAAUGUUCUCCCAGCCAAGCCGGACAGGCAUUAAAAAUCACACCAGGCUGGGUGGUUUUGCAAAACGCCACUUGUUUAAACUUCCUUUCAACACUCUGUCAGGAAUAAGGGCAAUGCAGAGGAACCUCAGAGCCCUGUGCAGAGAGGCAAGCUGUUCUGGAGAAAUUUAUUUCAAAAGUUAUUCUGAAAUGAAAACAUACCCACUGGGGGUGGGGUAGGUAGUGAUCCUAUAUCCUGGGCAAUGAGGCCAUCAAACCAGCCGGGCUCAGCAUGUCUUAUGUAAGAGUGGCCCAGUCUCUGGGAAAGGGGGCAAACCGUACAGAACUGAACCAAGUGACUGGUAAAGAGUGCAGCAGGAAGGCCUACCUAUCUCUGACUUGGUGAUAGUGAUGGGGGUCAGAUGUGGGAAGGGGUGCACAAGGGCUGCGUGACUCCUACAAAAGGGGAGUUGAAAGGGGGCCUCAUCACUGUUGGGAUCUGAGUCAGCACAGCUACCAUGCUCUUUUUUACUUCACUGUUUAUCUGGGCUGGGGUGGGGGGUGCUGGCGGAGAUUGAGGGGAGAUACAGGGUCUCUCUGGCACCGUCACUACUUUCAGGACUCCAGGGAAAAGUCUGGAUUUUGGAGACAGGCUUACCACUCAGCGGGUCUGCCUCCCGCCAGCGUGUCGUGGACGUUACCACCCAGGCUCAUAGCCCCUGGCGGUGCUCUCCGCUGAGUUAGGGCAUUCAGUGAAAUCAAGUGUCUAGGAACUGAGAAAAUGCUAGUUAUUACAAUAACCCUUUUUCAUAAAACCCAUUAUAUGGAGAAAUCCUUAUAGCACCAUUCAGCCUUUUUAGUUCACAUGAUUUUAUGGGUCACCAAAUUCUAGAAGGUGCGUUGUGGUGCCGUCUUUGCAUCCCCGACAUACCCAGCACGCAGGUGUGCCCCAAAUAUGUACUGAACGCCCGAUUUCCACGCAGACCUCGAGGACCCACAGCAGGGCCGCAUCCCCAGAUUCUCCGAGGCUGGGGCUGGAGAAGCGUUCUUCAAAGCCAGGGUUGCGGGGGGGUGUCCUCAGCUGCGGCGCAGACGGACCAGCUCGGAGACCCUGCCGGAUUCCCAGUAGAGAAACGCCCUGGGAAGCCGGGGCUCUUACAUAACCCGGAUGAUGUAACCGCGGCGGCUCCCGAGGGGCGGUGACGGCGGCUGUGCUGGGUUGGGGGGGCGGUGCGGGAGCUCAGGGCCGCGGGUGUCCGCGCCCCACCACGUCCCUCUACCGCCCCGCCGUGUGGUUCGCCAGGGAGCCGCGCCAACACACCAAGUAAGACGGCCCGGCGAGGGGGCAGCGGCA